UACGUAGGUGGCAAGCGUUGUCCGGAUUUACUGGGCGUAAAGGGCUUGUAGGCGGUUCGUUAAGUCUGGUGUGAAAUCUCCCGGCUCAACCGGGAGGGGUCAUCGGAUACUGGCGAACUAGAGACGGGUAGAGGAAAGCAGAAUUCCCGGUGUAGCGGUGAAAUGCGUAGAUAUCGGGAAGAACACCCGUGGCUAAGGCGGCCUGCUGGGCAGUUUUGCUGACACUGAGGCGCGACAGCGUGGGGAGCAAACAGG
rnacentral:rRNA from 1 species